rnacentral:rRNA from 1 species
AAUCAACGCUGGCGGCGCGCUUAACACAUGCAAGUCGCACGAGAAAGGGGAGCAAUCCCUGAGUACAGUGGCGUACGGGUGAGUAACACGUGGAUGAUCUACCUUCUAGUGGGGAAUAACCCUGGGAAACCGGGGCUAAUACCGCAUAAGCUCGAGAGAGGAAAGCAGCAAUGCGCUGGAAGAGGAGUCCGCGGCCGAUUAGCUAGUUGGCAGGGUAAGAGCCUACCAAGGCAAAGAUCGGUAGCCGGCCUGAGAGGGCACACGGCCACACUGGCACUGAAACACGGGCCAGACUCCUACGGGAGGCAGCAGUGGGGAAUCUUGCACAAUGGGGGAAACCCUGAUGCAGCGACGCCGCGUGAGCGAUGAAGCCCUUCGGGGUGUAAAGCUCUUUCGGCAGGGAAGAUAAUGACGGUACCUGCAGAAGCAGCUGCGGCUAACUACGUGCCAGCAGCCGCGGUAAUACGUAGGCAGCGAGCGUUGUUCGGAGUUACUGGGCGUAAAGGGUGUGUAGGCGGUUGUUUAAGUUUGGCGUGAAAUCUCCCGGCUCAACUGGGAGGGUGCGCCGAAUACUGAAUGACUUGGAGUGCGGGAGAGGAGAGUGGAAUUCCUGGUGUAGCGGUGAAAUGCGUAGAUAUCAGGAGGAACACCGGUGGUGUAGACGGCUCUCUGGACCGUAACUGACGCUGAGACACGAAAGCGUGGGGAGCGAACAGGAUUAGAUACCCUGGUAGUCCACGCCGUAAACGAUGGGUGCUAGGUGUGGGCGGUGUCGACUCCGUCCGUGCCGAAGCUAACGCAUUAAGCACCCCGCCUGGGGAGUACGGCCGCAAGGCUAAAACUCAAAGGAAUUGACGGGGGCCCGCACAAGCGGUGGAGCAUGUGGUUUAAUUCGACGCAACGCGAAGAACCUUACCUGGGCUCGAAAUGUACCGGAAUCCGGCAGAAACGUCGGCGUCUAGCAAUAGACCGGUAUAUAGGUGCUGCAUGGCUGUCGUCAGCUCGUGUCGUGAGAUGUUGGGUUAAGUCCCGCAACGAGCGCAACCCUUAUCUCCAGUUGCUACCAUUUAGUUGAGCACUCUGGCGAAACCGCCUCGGAUAACGGGGAGGAAGGUGGGGAUGACGUCAAGUCCUCAUGGCCUUUAUGUCCAGGGCUACACACGUGCUACAAUGGCCGGUACAAACCGCUGCAAACCCGCGAGGGGGAGCUAAUCGGAAAAAGCCGGCCUCAGUUCGGAUUGGAGUCUGCAACUCGACUCCAUGAAGCUGGAAUCGCUAGUAAUCGCAGAUCAGAACGCUGCGGUGAAUACGUUCCCGGGCCUUGUACACACCGCCCGUCACAUCACGAAAGUGGACUGCACUAGAAGCCGGUGAGCCAACCGCAAGGGGGCAGCCGUCCAAGGUAUGGUUCAUGAUUGGGGUGAAGUCGUAACAAGGUAGCCGUAGGAGAACC